UCGCCAGGGACACGGGUCGGGACGCUCGUCGCUGUCAGAGCUAUUGGUUUUCGAUGUAGCGUUGUGCCUAGAAGCGUUCUGCAGGCAUGUAACCGAAUAAUAAACCCCAAAACAGCUGGCAUCAGCAUCUUGCUGCAAGCAGAUAAGGGGUGAAAAGUUCUCAUGCUAAAUCUGGCUGGCAUCCUGACGGAGCCGGGCCAGGCGUUACCUUGUCCACCAGGAGGGAAAAUGUGAUGCAGAACUGGAGUGCAUGCAUCCUGCCCUGAGAGCUGCAAGACCAGAGGAUGCAGUGUUGGCGCAAACUUGGACGUCUGCUUUUAUUUCACUACCCAGGGGAUCUUCUUGGGCAUUGGUCUUCACCUUCUUUGUUGUAACAUCAAGAGCUCUCGAGACGUAAGAAGUCAGCUGUUAUUAAUCUUAGUUGAAAUAGAAUAAGAGAACAAUUCAGCUUGGAAGCAACCUGUGGACAUCAUCUUCUCAAGUUAGAAAGAUUGUAAAAUUUAGUUUCAUGAAUACUUUGCCUCACACCCUAUUUCAAACCUCGUUUCAUGAACUCUGCCUUGUUAAUAUGAGAACAUUGGGGUUUUUCCAUACAAAAAGGUCAAAAGCAUUUUGUGGUGCCCACAGUGGUUGUGGGAUACCUGUGCACACUGGGUCUGGUUUCCUGUGGGCCUGUUCCCCAGCGUGGGAAGAUCUACAAGGGCUGAUUAAAGCUGUUCCCACAUUUCAGGCAUUCGUUAUCUCUCCAAGGUGGUUGCUAGCCAGCAGAUCAAGGAGAUAGCAGAGCUGCACUGCAUCCAGCUACCCCUCUCCCACACAAUCGGAGGAUGAAAACACACAUGGGAGGGACUGGGUGUGGCAGUAUGUCAUAGCAACAUCAAGCAAGAGACAGUUUUUGCCAUGUAAACAUAUCAAAAUCUUAAAAACCCUCAUGACUUAACCCUAAUCAAUGACUGAUUGCAAACAUUGCCCAAGCUAAAACAAAAUUAAGCUUGGAUAAACAGUAGUUCAUGCACUGGAGCAGUUGAAACACAAAGGUGUCCUGGUCCUCUAUAAAGAAAUAUCAAAUACUGCAGUUUCUUAAAAUGUAGUUUAGCCCUUCAGAGGGAAAAUUCCCCAUGUAAUAAAACUCAAG